GAUCCCUGUAUCAACUGAUGGAAAGCAUUGGUGGGAAUAUGUGGAUCCUACAGUUACUCUAGAAUUAUUAGAUGAGCUAACACAUGAGUUUCUACAAAUAUUGGAGAAAACGCCUAAUAGGUUGAAGAAGAUUCGAAACUGGAGGGUAAGAGAAUUGACAGGGUUUAACAGAAUUUCAGUCUUUUAUGUAACAUUUACAUAGCUAACCAGUUUGAAUUUUUGUGGUUAAAUAAUCUUUGCAGUAUUCCUGAAUAAUUCAACGUAUCUCAAGUUACAUAUACUCACAUAUUCAACUACUGAGUCCAGUGGACUUUGCUAAAGUACAUUAUACUUUUAAAAAAUUUUUUGCAGUGAUUAUGACAAAAGUAUCCUCUUCAUUUUACAAAUGGGGAAACUGAAGCCUAGACAAGUUAAAUUACUUUCUGAAGUGCUGGGCUAGGAUUUAACUUGUAUCUGAUUCUAAAAUGGGUGUUUUCAAUUUUUUAUAGCCUUUUAUGCCUCUAAGGCAUUUAUUUACUGACAACAUAAAAUCUUGAACCCCAGGUCAUUUUAUUUCCAUAUGUUUAAUAUAUAAUGUUUUUAAUAUAUAACUUUUAUAAGACAAGAAAUUUGCAUUAAAUUAUUUUGCUAUA
rnacentral:lncRNA from 1 species